UGCUCUCUGCUCCAGUCAUCCUGAGG
rnacentral:piRNA from 2 species